rnacentral:rRNA from 1 species
AGGGGAAUAUUGGACAAUGGGCGCAAGCCUGAUCCAGCCAUGCCGCGUGAGUGAUGAAGGCCCUAGGGUUGUAAAGCUCUUUCACCGGUGAAGAUAAUGACGGUAACCGGAGAAGAAGCCCCGGCUAACUUCGUGCCAGCAGCCGCGGUAAUACGAAGGGGGCUAGCGUUGUUCGGAUUUACUGGGCGUAAAGCGCACGUAGGCGGACUAUUAAGUCAGGGGUGAAAUCCCGGGGCUCAACCCCGGAACUGCCUUUGAUACUGGUAGUCUUGAGUUCGAGAGAGGUGGGUGGAAUUCCGAGUGUAGAGGUGAAAUUCGUAGAUAUUCGGAGGAACACCAGUGGCGAAGGCGGCUCACUGGCUCGAUACUGACGCUGAGGUGCGAAAGCGUGGGGAGCAAACAGG